rnacentral:rRNA from 12 species
CUGGGAAGAGUUCUCUUUUCUUCUUAACGGCCUGUCACCCUGAAAUCGGUUUGUCCGGAGCUAGGGUUUAACGGCCGGUAGAGCCCAACACCUUUGUUGGGUCCGGUGCGCUCCCGACGACCCUUGAAAAUUCGCUGGAAGGAAUAGUUUUCACGCCAGGUCGUACUCAUAACCGCAGCAGGUCUCCAAGGUGAAAAGCCUCUAGUUGAUAGAACAAUGUAGAUAAGGGAA